CCUACGGGAGGCAGCAGUGAGGAAUAUUGGUCAAUGGACGCAAGUCUGAACCAGCCAAGUAGCGUGCAGGAUGACGGCCCUCCGGGUUGUAAACUGCUUUUAGUUGGGAAUAAAGUGAGGCACGUGUGCCUUUUUGUAUGUACUUUAUGAAUAAGGAUCGGCUAACUCCGUGCCAGCAGCCGCGGUAAUACGGAGGAUCCGAGCGUUAUCCGGAUUUAUUGGGUUUAAGGGGAGCGUAGAUGGGUUGUUAAGUCAGUUGUGAAAGUUUGCGGCUCAACCGUAAAAUUGCAAUUGAUACUGGCAGCCUUGAGUACAGUUGAGGUAGGCGGAAUUCGUGGUGUAGCGGUGAAAUGCUUAGAUAUCACGAAGAACUCCGAUUGCGAAGGCAGCUUACUAAACUGCCACUGACAUUGAUGCUCGAAAGUGUGGGUAUCAAACAGGAUUAGAUACCCGAGUAGUC
rnacentral:rRNA from 1 species